CCUGGCAUAUAACUCUUCAAAUUCACUCAGGCUCCCAAUAUAUUUCCAUAUUUAAGGCUCUCACUCAUGUACAUUCACUAAUCUCACAGAGGCAGUCAUACAUGAGUUUAAGCUUCCCAUCAGCUGAAGCCAGGAGAUGACGAAAGCACUAAUGAUUGUGACGAGUGUGAGUAUCAGGUGGUGACAUAGGAUGCGGCUCUGGUGAUGAGUUCAUCAUCUUCCCGCCGAGCGGCAGAGUAGAAGACAAACAAACGAAAAUCUUUAGACUUUCACUGUGUCAAACAAGUAGUUACAACACAACCUCCGUUGGUCUUGCUUACUCGCAUGUGAACACCAGCUUCUCUCCUCGCAAAUGUGUAGGUAAAUAUGAAUCUUGGUCUUAAGCAUAGGAGCAGGGCGUCAUAUCCAUUGAUAUUAUGCUUUGGGUUAGAGAUCUGGCACAGCAAAACAGAUUUGAUGUUUAGCUGCUUAUCGCCUUGAGAAAUAUUUGGAAGCUCAGUUUAUAGACAUGAAGAUUGUGGAAAUCUUGAGGCUUGCAAAGGAGAGAUGACAAAUAGAGGAUCUCUCCCAGAAGAUGAGCAGAAUGAUAAUAAAACAAAGAUCAAUUCGAAGAAGAAUAGAGGAUAAAGCUCACUGAUAACCGGUUCCUUUUCUAUACAGCAUUUGCACUGAGCUUACAAGUGAAGACAUAAAGAAACUGUACUCUGAAUUUUGGUCUCAUGUAAGAAGCAUUCUACAAUUAACUGAUAAAUGCACGCAAAGGUAUAGAACAUAUUCUAAACUAACUUUCAUCUCCAUGGUUCUGAUUUUCUAUUACAGCUAUCCAUAUGAUCAUGAGGAGCUUGCUAUCUGUGAGGAUAUAUAUCAGGAGCCUGCUGACUCUGGUUUCUAUGGAUGGUGCGUAUUGGAGGCGGCGUCUUUCCUCAUAUAAAAGAAGCUGGUUAUCUGACCUGCCUUGUGUAAAUUCUCUGCUACUACAUGUACAAAGCUUUUCUGUGAACAGGGAUUGGGAAAAAAAAUUCAAGCUCACACACAUCAAAUCUCAUUACCUUAGCACAAAGCGGUAGCGCAUUGGUUUCACUUAUAUUCUGGUAAAUGGCACUGCUUUUGUCAUCAGGUUUUUACCAUCACCAUUGGUUGGUACAGAUAUACAAAGCUGAAACCUCAAAAUAACAUGAUUCGUGGUAGAGGAAAGAAGCUGAAACUGAAAACAAGCUCGAGAUGGAGCUCAAAUCGGCAAAAGAAGAAUUUGUAGAUCUAGAAAUCCUACAACUCUAAAACUAUGUUUUCG